UACGUAGGGUGCAAGCGUUGUCCGGAAUUAUUGGGCGUAAAGAGCUCGUAGGCGGUUUGUCGCGUCGAAUGUGAAAACCCGGGGCUCAACCCCGGGCCUGCAUUCGAUACGGGCAGACUAGAGUUCGGUAGAGGAGUCUGGAAUUCCUGGUGUAGCGGUGAAAUGCGCAGAUAUCAGGAGGAACACCGGUGGCGAAGGCGGGACUCUGGGCCGAUACUGACGCUGAGGCGCGACAGCGUGGGGAGCAAACAGG
rnacentral:rRNA from 1 species